rnacentral:rRNA from 1 species
AAGGAAAAAAUUAAAAAUAAUAAAAUAAUAAAAAUAAUUUUAAUAUUAAAAUAAAUAAUGGGGGUUAAAGUAUUUUAAUAGAAAAAAUUAAUAUAUUUAUAGUAUAAUAGUAUUGUAAAAUAAAUUUGAAAUAAAUGAAAAUAAAUUUAAUAAAAAGUAAAUUUAAAUUAUUGUAUCUUGUGUAUCAGAGUUUAUUAAUAAAAUUAUUUAAAUAAAUAAAUCUCGAAUUUAAAAGAGUUAAUUAAUUAAAAAAAUUAAUGUUGUAUAAUUAUUUUAAAUAAUUAAUUAGAAAUGAAAUGUUAAUCGUUUUUAAAAUUAUCUAGUUUUUUUAGAAAUAAAUUUAAUUUAAAAUUUAUUAAAUAUUUUAUUACUAAUUAAUUAAUAAUAAAAAUAAUAAAUUAAAUAAUUUAAGGGAUAAGCUUUAAAUUAAAUUUUUAUAAUAAAAUUUAUUAAUAAAAAAUUUUUAGAAUUUAUAUUUUUCAUAAAUUAAAGUUUAUUAUAAAAUAUUUUUUAAAAAAUAAAAUUUAAUUUUAUUUAAAUUUUUAUAAGAAAAUAAUAUUAAAUUAAAUAAUAUUAGUUAUAAUGAUAAAAUUAGUAUAAUAAUAUAGUUAAUUUUAUAAUAAUUGAAAAUUAAUUAAAAGGAAUUCGGCAAAAAUUUAUAUUCACCUGUUUAUCAAAAACAUGUCUUUUUGAAAAAUAAUUUAAAGUCUAAUCUGCCCACUGAUAAUAUAUUAAAGGGCUGCAGUAUAUUGACUGUACAAAGGUAGCAUAAUCAAUAGUCUUUUAAUUGAAGACUUGUAUGAAAGAUUUAAUGAAAUAUAAACUGUCUCUUAAUUAUUUAUAGAACUUAAUUUUUUAGUUAAAAAGCUAAAAUAAAUUUAAAAGACGAGAAGACCCUAUAGAGUUUUAUAUUUUAAAAUUUAAAAUUUUAUAUAAAAGUUAAAAUUUUAAGUGGAAAAAUAUUUUGUUGGGGUGAUAAAAAAAUUAAAAAAACUUUUUUUAAAUUUUAACAAAAAUAAUUGAAUUAAUGAUCCAUAUAUUAUGAUUAUAAGAAAAAAUUACCUUAGGGAUAACAGCGUAAUAUUUUUUUUUAGAUCAAAUAAGAAAAAAAGUUUGCGACCUCGAUGUUGGAUUAAGAUAAAAUUUAUAAUGCAAAAGUUUAAAAUUUUGAUCUGUUCGAUCAUUAAAAUCUUACAUGAUCUGAGUUCAAACCGGUGUAAGCCAGGUUGGUUUCUAUCUUUAGAAAAAUUUAAUAUUUUAGUACGAAAGGAUCAAAUAUUAAAAAUAAUUUUUAUUAUAAGAAUAUUAUUAAUUAUAAUUA